AUAUAGGACAAUGGGGGCAAACUUGAUCCAGCCAUGUUGCGUGUGUGAAGUAGUUCUUCGGAUUGUAAAGUACUUUAAGUUGAGAGGAAGGGUAGUAAGUUAAUGCCUUGUUGAUUUGUCGAUAUUGAAAGAAUAAGCAAUGGCUAACUUCGUGCAAGCAGCCGCGGUAAUACGAAGGGUGCAAGCGUUAAUCGGAAUUACUGGGCGUAAAGCGCGCGUAGGUGGUUUGUUAAGUUGGAAGUGAAAGCCCCGGGCUCAACCUGGGAACUGCUUUCAUAACUGCUGAGCUAGAGUACGGUAGAGGGUAGUGAAAUUUCCUGUGUAGCGGUGAAAUGCGUAGAUAUAGGAAGGAACACCAGUGGCGAAGGCGACUACCUGGACUGAUACUGACACUGAGGUGCGAAAGCGUGGGAAGCAAAC
rnacentral:rRNA from 1 species